rnacentral:rRNA from 1 species
CAAUAGCGUAUACUAAAGUUGUUGCGAUUAAAAAGCUCGUAGUUGGAUCUCAGGCAUGGGCGCACGGUACGCCUCGCGGCGGUCACUGUGUGUUUUGUUUCCCAUCCUACGCUUCCCGGUUAUCAGCCCAUGGUGCUCUUCACUGAGCGUUUUGGGUGGCCGGAACGUUUACUUUGAAGAAAUUAGAGUGUUCAAAGCAGGCACGUCGCCUGAAUAAUGGUGCAUGGAAUAAUGGAAUAGGACCUCGGUUCUAUUUUGCUGGUUUUCGGAACACGAGGUAAUGAUUAAGAGGGACAGACGGGGGCAUCCGUAUUGCGGUGUUAGAGGUGAAAUUCUUGGAUCAUCGCAAGACGAACAACUGCGAAAGCAUUUGCCAAGCAUGUUUUCAUUAG